UACAUGGGGUGCAACGUUGCUCGGAAUUAUUGGGCGUAAAGCGCACGUAGGCGGUCCGUUAAGUCGGAUGUGAAAGCCCCCGGGCUCAACCGGGGAAGUGCAUCCGAAACUGGCAGGCUAGAGUACGAAAGAGGGUCGCGGAAUUCCCGGUGUAGAGGUGAAAUUCGUAGAUAUCAGGAGGAACACCGGUGGCGAAGGCGGUUCUCUGGGCAUUACCUGACGGCUGAGGAGCGAAAGUGUGGGGAGCGAACAGG
rnacentral:rRNA from 1 species